CAAUAUUUUAUGUGCUUAUCACGUAACCCCAGCAGGAAGGGCAGGGGGCUGGAGACCUCCUUUUGAGAAGCAGAGUCUUGGAAGAGAGGGCAGCUGUAGUGCGGGAUUGAACUCACGACUGCCUGCUUGAAAGGCAGGUGCUUAUGCCACUGAACUAAAUCCGCAGCCCCCUAAAAUGAUAUUUCUAAUACCAGCAAUAAGCACUCUCCGUGGACACAGGUUGUCCUGUAGAAGUUUGUGUGCUGACAUUCAGAACUACUGGAAGUCAAGAAGUUCCCACGGGGACACUACGGAGUGAGGACCACAAGGAUAACGAUUUUACAUUUCAUCCCAUGAACAGUACCAUGGGAAAGCUGUUCCUGUUUUUCUGACAAGAAGCUAAGGCCCAGGGAAUAUAAAUAAAUGCUCUAAACCAUAA